ACGGGCAUAGUAUAAUGGUAGUACAAAGGUCUCCAAAACCUUCGGUGUGGGUUCAACUCCUACUGCCCGUG
rnacentral:tRNA from 1 species